ensembl:lncRNA
UUAGCUUCCAAAAGGUGCUGUGGGAAUUGAAGCAGCUUUCCAGAGCAAACUACACAAGGACGUGAGCCAGAGAGAUGUUGCAGAAAGAAAACAUGCUUCAACAGAAGAGAUUAAGGUGCAAGUCAGAGUGGCAUUGAAGGCUUCAGAAGGGCAACACAUUGCCUGCAUUUAAACAUGAGCCAUAGCCUAAUUUCUAAAGCUGCUCUAUAAACUCCGCUUGAGAGGCAGCACGAGCCAAAGAAGGAAGAAAACACGUCUGGGAAUGGCAGUGAAUGAAGAUGGCAGCAGAGGGGCAGUCCAACAGAAUGGCAUCUGGCAUGGAAGUGAGUGUGAAGCAAAGGUCUACAGGAGAGAAUUCAAGAUGCUGUAAGUUCUCAAAGUUCUUCCUCAGCUCACAGAAAUGAAAAAAAAGCAGCCGUAGUGAUUUCUUUUGGCAGUAUCUUCUGCCACAAACAGCCAUUUUCGUGCCCUCCAUAACGAGGAGGAGUUCAGAAAGGCUCUGAAUUGUCUGGGAAACGAAAAAAUUCCACAACUAGGAGAAUGAAAUGCAAACUGAAGGCAUUUCAGACACAAUGUGCUUGAUGAGUGGUUGUAUAGAUGGAGAAAGCAUUGUUUCAUCAAGAGUUUUCAACUCAAAUCAUUGCCACCAUAUGAAAAAAUACCUUCCUCUAUAUUUUUUAACCCUUCUUCUACUAGUAGGGAAAAGAAAAAUCUAACAGAUGGGCCAGAUUUUUUUAAUCGAACUGGUCUUUUCCUUACUUUGAGGUAUUCGUUCCCAUUUUACUUCAAUACAUUUGUGUCGAAUACAUUUAUUUAUCCUGGUUUAUACUUCCCAGAAAACAAGUCGGGGUUUCUUCUGUGGUCAGACCAAUGCUAUGAUUCAUGGAAUUGUGAUCGUCAGUCUGCACAGGAAGUGGAGGUCAGCUGGAGAGCAACGCUCAUACAGAACUGAAGCUGAACCUUCCAACCUACCAAAUCCGUGAGGUGCUGGAGCAGAAAGGGAACAUAGGUUAAUUCUGGGCUGACCUAGAACAAAGUACUCCAACUCUGCACAACAUACUAGUCCAAGAUUUCAACCAUCACCAUAAACCAAUCUGAAUUAAUGCUUUCCUUCACUUUCCAGUCCAUCAAAUAGAAUCUAAGGCUUUUGGGCCUCUCUGGACAUUUUUAGGUUCAAAAUAAACUGAGUUCUCCAAUAUACAGAAUCCACUUCUUCAUGGGCUCCACUAAGGGCAGCUCACCUCUCCCUGCUUGGGAGCAGGAUGACAGACUCAGCAUGCAGCUGGGGCUGCUUUCCAGAGCAGCUGAACACAGUGGUGUCCACAAUUCAGGCAAAUAAUGAGCCCUUCUUGGUAUGGAUCCUUCAGGAAAGCAUGCCUCCAAUCCCUACAGAGACAUCACACGAGGAAUUCUAGAAAUAUGGCCUUUAAAAGAAGGAAUAGAUCAAAUUUUAAGCAAUUAUGAAUAAAAGCACAGUACAGAAAGCUGUAACUGUAAACCAGUUACAUCAGCAAAGCAGCAUUCCCACUGCUGAGAGAAGGGGAGAUUUCUACUGAGGCUAAAACAAGUUCUUUGAGACAGCAGCUGAGAAAGAGACAGUUCUGCCAGGAGUCACAGUUCUUCCAUCCUCAGCACUGGUGAUGAACCACUCCAGUAACUGGGUGGCAUGCCCCUAAUUCCUCUGGGAAAAGACUCUGGGAAAGGAUGUACAAUAAUUGUGGAGGGGAAGCAGACCAAAGUACAGAGCACUAAUUAAGUUGACUAUCUCAAUAUGACUACCCAGAAAAAAAAUGGAAUUUCUGUGUCUCAAGUUUCAUAUCAGUUGAAUUUCGAGGAUCAAUAGGAUUGGUCUUAUGGGGAUGUUCCUUCCCUUCAUUUGCUUUAUUUCCAACAUGAAGUAAGCUUAGAAGAUUCCUGCCUGGAACGACAAUAAAAAGUUUAUAAUAUUCAGUGACCUGGUUAGGGAAAUAAAGUAAUUUAUUGCUGGGGUAAUCAAAGAAGCAUGAUAGAAGAUUUCCUUAUCAACCAAGAAACUGAGACAGGUGGAUAACGAUACGUCCCAACUGUUGCUACCUACUGCACAUCUUCAAGGUUCUCUCUAGGUAGCAGAUGGCCAGUCAGAAUAUCUCAAUUUCAGUCCUGUGAUAAAUUACCUUUUCAGUAGAGAAAGCAUCUCUGUCUCUCCCCAUGAACAAUAUCAAAGAGUUUAUUUCAUUAUGUAAGAGCAUAAUUAGUGCCAGACAUUUAGUACUAUUAUUACUACCAAGUUGUCUUUCCUCUUUGUAGUGUGAGAGCUGUAGAGCAGACUUCCCUGAUCUUUUCAAACAGUUUCUGCCUGCAUCCAAACAAAAGGAAACAUGUCAUAGCUAGUUUGUGAUGAGAAACCAGUACUUUGGCUCCAGAUGCACACAGAGAACAAUUGGUUUAAAAUGAAAGACAAGCUAAAUAUCAAUAAACCUCAUAGUCUUCUUCAGAGCAGCCUACUCACAGAAAACAGCUUAUAGGCAAGCACAAUGAAUCACGUUGAUACUGGAAAUACACACGUUCCCUAGAAAGCUUCUGCUAAAAGCUUAUCACAUUGCACCAGAUGGUUGGCUAGCUGACAAGAGAUAGCUCAUCUCAAAAAAAAAAAAACA